UCCUACGGGAGGCAGCAGUGGGGAAUUUUGGACAAUGGGCGAAAGCCUGAUCCAGCAAUGCCGCGUGCAGGAUGAAGGCCCUCGGGUUGUAAACUGCUUUUGUACGGAACGAAAAGCCUGGGGCUAAUAUCCC
rnacentral:rRNA from 1 species